UACGUAGGGUGCGAGCGUUGUCCGGAAUUAUUGGGCGUAAAGAGCUUGUAGGCGGUUUGUCGCGUCUGCCGUGAAAGCCCAGGGCUUAACCCUGGGUCUGCGGUGGGUACGGGCAGACUAGAGUGUGGUAGGGGAGACUGGAAUUCCUGGUGUAGCGGUGAAAUGCGCAGAUAUCAGGAGGAACACCGAUGGCGAAGGCAGCCUUCUGGGCCAACACUGACGCUCAUGCACGAAAGCGUGGGGAGCAAACAGG
rnacentral:rRNA from 1 species